rnacentral:tRNA from 1 species
CUCCUCCGGGAAGGCUUGAACUUCCAACCUCCUGAUUAACAGUCAGACGCGCUAGCCAAUUGCGCCACAGAGGA